UAUUAGUCAGGGUAGUUAACUCCAGAUGCUAUAACAAACAACUUCAUACUCUGAGCAACCCAACACAUUAAAGAGGUGUGUCUCUAUGACAUCACCAUGAAGUGAGUCAACAGAGGGCUUUGCUCCACAGGGUCAUGCAGGGACUCAAGCUAAUGGACGAACUGCCACUUUUAGCACUCGAUUCUUAAGAUCACCCUGGUAUUAACCUAUAACCUGUAGGUAGGAAAGAGAGAAAGUCUUUUGAGGACCACAAGGAUAUUAGGAAUCUUGGGACUUACAAACUACAAUUACAAAUUAUCUCUUUCUCCUGAUGUACGAUGGUGGAGCAGAAAUAGAAAUUCCACAAUAAAGUCUCCCAGUCACAAAAGGAGGGGAAAGAAGGCACAUAAUAGCAGAGACAUCACUUUGCUGACAAAGGUCCAUAUAGUCAAAGCUAUGGUUUUUCCAGUAGUCAUGUAUGGAUAUGAGAGUUUAACUAUAAAGAAGGUUGAGCACUGAAGAAUUAAUGCUUUCAAAUUACAGGGCUGGAGAAGACUCUUGAGAGUCCCUUGGACAGCAAGGAGACAAAACCAGUCAGUCCUAAAGGAAAUCAACCCUGAAUAUUCAUUGGAAGCACUGAUGCUAAAGCUGAAGCUCCAAUAUUUACUUUGGCCACCUGAUGCAGAGCUGACUCACUGGAAAAGACGUUGAUGCUGGGAAGUAUUGAGGGCAGAAGGAGAAGCAGGAGACAGAGAAUGGGGUGGUUGGAUAGCAUCACUGCUUCAAUAGACACAAGUCUGAACAAACUCCAGAAGAUAGUGAAGGACCUGGUGUCCUGCAGUCCAUAGAGUCGCACAGAGUAGGAUAUGACUCAGCAACUGAACAACAAUGAUGUGUGCUGGGAGCAGCUCUGCUUGAGGAAUUCUCCUGGAAGGAAGUGAAGUACUCUGGGACCUUGGGAGGAUGUAGCUGUACAUUAAGAAUGAUGCUGCUUGCCAGAACCCAGAGAAGAAUACAGCUUAGGAAGGACAGUCAUGACUAAUGAGAAAGGCUUUGUUUCGAGGUCUGCCACUAACUCCCAGUUACUUUGGGCAGGUCUUUACCUCUCGAUGCCCAGGAAAGUCAGGAAGUUUUAAUCAAGUACCAGAGCUGUAGGAGGUGGAAAGUGUCACUUACAGGAUUCACUGAAUCCUCCUGUUGCACCAGCAACUGCAGAGUACCGAGGGACACACCUAUGACGCCACCUCUAUCCUUCCUCUGGAAUUCACAGAUCAGUUAAAUGAAUUCUAGAGUUUGUUGCUCAAAGAAAUCAUCAGAGAUAUAGGCUCUUUUAUCAUCAAUCUUUUCAUUGUCAUGCUUGUCACUCAAUGGUUGCAAAGUGGCUGACACAGCUCCAGGCAUCACAUCAUACUUAAGGCAACAAAAAGGGAGCGGAAGCAAUUCCAAAUGGUCAUGUCUCUUUCUUUAGGAACGCAAAAACGUCUUAAGAUAUUCCCCAGCAGUCUUCCCUUAAAAUCCUAUUGGCCAGCACCAUUUCUCACCACCACUUUUAGCUGUAAGGGAGACUGUUAAAGGGUAGAGCUUUGAAAGGGGGGUGGGAAUAAUAAUUGGUGUAGCCUAACUACCUGCAAGUCAUCUACUUAGGAUUCUCGAUGCUUUCUGUAGUUUUGCCAGGGAAAGAGAUGGUCUUGAAACAAGUUGAAGGUUCUGGUCAUUCCCUGUCAUAUGCUUCCUCCAGGUCCUAACCUGAAUAAUUAUCCUUGUUCAAAGACAUUCAGAAUUGUUUCAAAUCUCAGCAAGAUAGUGUAGAGUAGAAGUUAAUAAGCUGAUCCUAAAAUUCCC
ensembl:lncRNA